AUCUGUUCCAGCUGCAAGAGGGGAGAAAAGGCUGCUGCUGCUGCUGCUGCUCUGUUGGCGAGGUUGCCCGGUCCACUGAAACAGCUAAAAAAAAAACCAAACCCAGGCGAAGAAGCGGAGUACAGGCCCAGGCUGUCCUACCAUCUGUCUCUGACCAUCAUUGUUCCUGGAGAAUGGGUUCAGGUGAAAGAACUGUCACCUAAAAGUUCCAAUCCUAGUGGUUCCAUCCCUGUCAAGUCCUCCUGAGCACCUCAAUUGCAAUGAGAAGUGGAAGGAAUCAAGGCAGGGCCACGAAAAGUUCCAUCUUCCCCUCUCCAAUGACAAGCCCAGUAGCUGGACGGCCUAACUUUGACCUGCCUUGCCUGUUGAACUGUUUCCAUCUAACUAGGAGGAAAACUUCAGUGGAUUGGACUAACCUGGAAAUCGUGUUUCUGGUAUCUGGACUGUAUAUUGCUACAUUUUUCUUAUGUAACAGUUGUUGCUGCUGUUUCCCCCACACCUUCUUCAGACCAUGGGCCCAAUAAUUAAAGGAACAAAAGGAAGUUGUGUUUAUAACAAGACUACAUAUUCCACUUGCAAACUGGGGGAUAGGGUCACUUGUUAUGCUCCUGUCAAUACAGUAAAGCCCUACCAACAAUUUCGAAUCUGGACAUAUGGCGGGAUGCACAGAUAAUACCUUUUGGAAAGAAUAACACAAGACUUAUGGAUAGUGCCAGCGUCUUCUUUGAUGCAUGUAAAGCUAUUGACUGUAAUCAUGCUAAAUGGACUAAGUGUGGAGCGAUGGGGUGGAAACAGGCCUACUUAUUUCAUGCAAAAUAAGUUUAUACAUUUUACCCAACCUGGCACAAUCAAAGAAAAUUCAAUGUGAUUAAAAGAGCCAGCACUUCCCAGUGCAACGCUGAUUCCUGCAACCUGGUGUGCUUCAAGAUAACCAGACCAGCAGAUUUCUCAGCAUCAUUUGGACUAGCUAUCGAUAGAACCGGACACAAAUAUGGCUUCAAGUUGACACUAUUAUACCACAAUCCCAGAAAUAUUUUAGAAUUUUUCAUUCUUUUUAUGAUCAACUGAAAAUCACAAUUGAGAUCCCCUCAGUAGCAAAGAACCUUUUUAUUGAUCUGGUGGAAGAAAUGCUUCAUCUCUAAAUGUGACUAAUUGUUUUACAUCUGUGUGUGGGUACUAACAUGGGUGAACAAUAGCCUUGGGAAGCAUGUGAAAUAAAUCUUACUCCCCUGACUAGUCAAAAUCUCACUUGAAAAGCCACCAAUAGACCCAAUGUGUGCACUCUGACCACUUCCAUAGUGGGAAACCUCUGUUAUUUUUUUUUUUUUUAAAAAACAACCAAUGUUUUGGUAAAGCCUUAGGUGUGAACAUCUCUUGUAGGUGAGCACCUCAGCAUCCUUUUGGUGGAUUACUACCGAUUUGGCCCAACCCCCAAAUCCCCUGGCAAACAUUCCCCAAUUGUCUACCUUAUGGACCAAUCUAACAGAUGCAAUCCUCACCUUGACCACUCCAGACGAACCUGUUACUUGGGCAGAAGAUGGAAUAUAUGGUUGUAAGACUUUUGUUUAAAAGAAUUAUUAGAUUGCAAACUGUAUUAGAAAUAAUUACAAAUGAAGGGCAUUUAGAAUAACAUGAUGCUUUUUUGCUUUUCUAUACUACGCUUGCGCAGGAACCUCCAUUAGCCCGAAGCAAGAAGCACAUGUUCAGAGAGAUAAAGAAAACGGAUUGGUUAAAAUAACACUACAAAAGAAAGUUUUGUGAAAACAAGGUGGUGUGGCUUUCCUUUUACACGCUGCUGCCUGCUUGUGGAGGAAAUACACCCAGCUUCUUCAGAAACCUGGACAGCUGCCAUGGACACAAGCUGGUUUGGAGAGUUCUUUGGUGAUUGGCAAAUGGAAAUUUUUCUGGUUGUGUUAGCUUUUGGAGGUCUGGUUUUGCCAUGUUUGAUUCCUGUUAUCCAAAGAACAGUUACUUCUACCAUCUCAGGGAUGACGAUCAUAGCAUCCUCUGUAAGUAAUGAUAAACCCCAUAAGCCAGCCAAGCUCCUGACUAUCACCACAAUAACAAAGGAAUAUACAUCAUUGGUCACCAAGUACAGAAAGCAUUCUGUUACAAAAUUAAAAAGGGAUAAAUGAAGGGUUCUGUAACUGGAACAAAAAGAAAUUGUUUAGCCUAACUAUUGCUAUCUCGCUUUUGUAAUCAGUGUUUGCAUCAGGGACAAAUUUCAUGCAAGCAUGAGAAACAUGUACAUGGAUGGGAUGUACUGAAGGAGGGAAUAAGGGAGUGUACAGGAAUGAGUAAUGUCUUCCUUAUGAUGUAAUGGCUCUCUUGUCUGGUUUUCAUUGGCUACUGAAGUUUAUAAACAAUGCUACUAACUUUCUAAGGUGUGGCACUUCUGAACAUAACUCCGCCAGCAUUCCAGAUUGUUUGCCACCCAGAUGUUUUGAUCAAUUAAAGCACAGUUUCCUUAAGAAGCCUCCUUUUGAGUUGCCUGAUUAGACUUUUAAUGGUAUCUCAAAUUUAAGUAAGGGCCAGGGACCUUAUAGUAAUUAGCCAUUUCUAUAACAACAAAUCUAUCUAAUCGGCAAAACCAAACUCGAAGUUUUAUUUUUUUUUCAUCACAAGCACAAAAUCCAGAAGUGAUAUCCAAAUAAAAAACAUAAUUAAAUAAAUUCUCCUCUUUGAAUAAAACAAUCAAUUUAAUCAUUUCUGCUUUAUCUUUCUUGCUGUGGAAAUAAUGGGUAUUUCUAUUUGCACUUAAUAAUCUUUAUAAAGUAUCACUAUUUAAAAUAAGAAUUCACUGUAUUCUUUCAGAUUCUUUAAAGGGAAAAAUAUUUUUUCAUCCAUUUUAAAACACUAAACUUUUCUUUAAAAAUAUUUCUGAAAUCAAAACUUUCUAAUACAUCUUUUUUUAACUUCCUCUUAACAUGCAUACUUUAAAGUUCACUAUUAAAUUUAGGUCACUCCCUCCAAGUUACCCUCAUAGAAUAAUUUUUCUUCUUGUAUACAUCCUUUCUAAAAAUUUCAACUUUCCUUUAAACUAAUACAACUUUCUCUUUAAUUUUCUCUUAACACAAAUACUCUCAAGUACACUUUCAAUAAUAUUUUACAAACUUUAGGAAUUAAGCAUUAUAUAUAAAGGAAAAAUACAUUUUCAAACUUUAGAUUAAGACUUUCUUUCAGUUACAAAUAUCAAACUGAUAAAAAUCCAUCCUAAUUCCAAAUUGAUUCAUUAAGUUUAAGUCACUCCUUCUAACUUGACUUUAUGGAGUAAAGUCUUUUUCUUCUCUCGAAUUUUUGUCAAGUAGUUAUAAGCGGUGGUGGGAUUUAGCCAGUUUGCACUGGUUCGAGUCAAUGAGUAACUUUUUUGUAAAUCACUUAAGAAUUGCUGGCUAAUCAGGAAUCAUAAAAAUCAGAAAGUUUUAGUCACCCACAACAAAGUAGACCAAACUACAAAUUACUAAAAAUAAUAAACUUUCUACCCUUACAUUUCUCCGUCAACUUUUUUUUUUAAAGAUACUCCACACUUCCUUAUAUUUGGCUUGCCUUAGCAGCCUUCUUCCUUGUUGUUUAACACUGAAUAAACCCCUAAAAUGGUGCAGAUCUUCAAAAAGGAGUAACAGGCUGUGACUAAAGAGAGCUUCUUUUAGCCUAAUAAAGAUUCGGCACACAGGCUGCUUCGAAGCACAGCUCCUGAAGCUACUUUCAGACCUUUACUGUAUCGGAAGAUCUUGAGGGAUAAUUCUAGGACUUUCCCUAACUCAGGAGAGUCAUAUAAACUAAAGGAAUGUCGGUUCCUUCUGUUGGUAGUUGAAAAAAACUACUGCCCGAGAAAAAAUUCUUCAGGGAUCCCUCCCUGCCUUGUAGUCAGUUGGUCAUCUUUUCACCGGAAGUCCUUUGCAUUUACUUUUCUAACAGUAGCAAGGCAGCCAAAUAGAAAAAGAUGUUCAGAUAAAUGUUCAUAGUGAAUGCAAACCAAAGUAUUUUAUAUAUUGCCCAGUAAUAAAUUAUUGGUUUUGCUAAUAGUCUAUGUACAGUGAGCUAUCAUGUAGCUGUGCAAAAUGGCCAACUUCUAUGUAUUUCACGCCAUUAAUUGCUACACAUAAGCUAAUAAUACUAUGCUGCCAUCUUGUGUUUCCAAUGGCUAGGUCUCCUUCAAGCUGACCUUGACUCCUGGUAUAACUUUCUUGGCAAUUAUACCAAAGUUAGAUACCACGGAAUAAUAGGAAGUUUCUUAGCAAGAAGCUGAAGUUCUUCCAAAGUAAUUUAAGGUUUCACUGGUUAUUCAACAAUAACUUGUUGAAGCAUUGACUUAUUAGGCUUUAUUGCAACUUUUGUAUCCAACUUUUCUAUUGUUUCUAAGCAUGAAUGAACCACAAAUAACACAACUGUAUACUAUGCAAAUUCACCUCAUAGAUUUACUCAAGGGUAAGCAAAUUGUAUGAGAACAAACACUAUGUUUUAUAAUUUCAUUUUUUUUUUUUUUUGAGAAUCAGGAAAGAAAAUACAUCUCAUUCUGCAAUACAGGUAGUCCUUGGGUUACAACCAAUCAUUCAAAGUUAUGAUGACACUGAAUGAGUGGUAGUUAUGACUGAUCCUCAAAGUUCCAGCUGUCACAGCACCCAAGUGGUCACAUGAUUGCAAUCUAGGUGCUUGGCAAUCAGCUCAUACUUAUGAUUGUUGCACUGGCCUGCAGUCAUGACUGCAAUUUUUAGCUUCCCCACCAGCUUCCGAUUAGUAAAGUCAAUGGGAAAACAGCAGAGGUCACAAAUUGCUCUGAUAAGUCUCCUCCACCCAUGCACCUCACCUAGCCCCUCGGCACUCAUACCACAUCAGCCACCUAUAUACCUUCCCAAACUGCUCGCACUGCACCUCCCUGGAUAUCUGCACAUUUCCAACUGGCAGCCGCUCCCUUGCACAUUCUCCUUCCUCAUUAAUUGUGCAUACUCCAAGCCACAUAAUACUCAUGCCAUACCUCCUCAGCCACUCAUUUACCUUCUCCCACUUGGCAAUAUCCACCCCAAGUCCUGUUGAGCUAACAUACUGUUCCUGAGCUUCAGUGUGCUCCUUCCACAGGCAGCAGCAUCCUCGUACACCCUCCCCAAGCCUUGUACUUGUGCCAUGCCUCCCUCACUUAAUGAUGGCACACCAGGAAUUGCAGGAAUUUCUCUCUAAGAAAUGCAGUUUUGUUUACGACUGUGUCACUUAGUGAUGAAAAUUCUGGUCCUAUUUGCUGUCAUAACUCAAGGACUACCUGUAUAUUAACAGUACCAAUUUUAAUAAAAUUGUAAGCUGUAUGUGUGUGUGUAAUACUUGCAUAUAUAGUACCUAAACACAUUCCCAGAACAAAUUUCCUAUUUUAUUUGACAGAAUGGUAUCUUCUCUAAUACGCUUUAUUACCUACAAUUUUAUCAAUAUUCAGAUUUUAAAGCAAUUCUUUCACAAAAAUGAUUUAUCAAGAAAGUUCAAUUUCCAUUUGCCUAAAUGCUACAGUAUUAUUCUGUAUAAUAGCAACCUUUAAUGGAGACUACUACCAGAAUUAUAAUCAAAACAUCGAGAAACAGAUACGACCGUACUUUUUGUAACUGCAAGGCUUAUACAUUUAAAAACUAAUUUAUAAAACAUUUAAUGGGAUUAAAUGUUAAAUUGCUUUAAAUAUAAUUGUAGUUCUUCAAGUGUUCAUCUCUGAAUGCAAUCUAUGCAUUCUUAUUCGAUUCUUCCAUAUCUGUGGCAUAUUUUUAAGCAGGAAAUGCUUUUGUCCAAUGUGUGCAUGAUCCUGGGGAUAGUUCCUACCUUUCCUCUUAAUUUCUAACCAAGCCAAGGAGAAAUGUUUAGAUUGCUAUUAAACUGGAUGCCUAAAGUGAAAAAAAUGAGAGGAUUUUAUGAAUGCAGAUGCCCAAAGAGGUAAAGUUGCAUGAAAAAAUAAGAUUUUAUAUUUUGUUUUGCAUUCUCUCUGCCUCCAAUAUAUAGUGGAAUAGCAAAUGUACCUCAUGGUAGGAGCAGAUGGCAGAAGAAUCCAAAAAGAACUGUUCAGCUAAAGAAGGCAUUCAAACAAGCUUGAGCACUGAAAUCAUGAUAUCUAGAAAAGGUUGAAUGUUGAGAUCGUGUGAAGGCCCUACUUAGAGUGUUACUUUUAUGAACAUUGUGAAUAAAGCAUUUCUAACAGGAAAUUUAUAGAAAAUAUAGUUAUAUAAUCUAUAGAGUUGCCCACAGCCCAACAGCUAUCUACUGCAAUAUAAGAACUUUUUAAGAUCAUAGCUGUUUGUAGAAAAAAGAUUAAGAGAAUAAGAAACUGGCUCAAAUGGACUCCAACACAUUUUAUGCAGAAGGCAAAUUAGGUUUUCUGUCAGUAUGACUCUAAGGGGCAUCUGUCUAUAUACAGGUAGUCUUCAACUUACAACAGACCUCCCCAAAGCUACUUAUGAUUCAUUUUCAAAGUAACAACAGCCAUGCAUAUGCCACCAUGGUCACAUGAUCACAUUUCAGGUACUUGGCAACCAGCACAUAUUUAUCACUGUUUGCAGCAUCUCACGGUCAUGUGACUGCAAUAUGUAUUUUUUUUUUUUUUGCUGUUUUCUAGCAUUUACUUCAAGAAUACCCAUUGGGGGAACAAUCUACCUGCUGCUACACAUUCUGACUGCAACUAGGCUUGCUUUUGUGCAAAAAUGGAAGAGCAAGGAAAUUCCCACAGAGGAAGAGUUAAUACAUAAAAUAUUAGCAUGUGCAGAAAUGGACAGGUUCACAAUGAUAUUAAAAGACAAAUGUGGAUCAGUUUAUUAUGAA